rnacentral:tRNA from 1 species
GAGGGUAUAGCUCAGUGGUAGAGCACAUGCCUAGCAUGCACAAGGUCCUGGGUUCAACAACCAGUACCUCCA